rnacentral:rRNA from 1 species
GAUGAACGCUGGCGGCGUGCCUAAUACAUGCAAGUCGAGCGAACAGACGAGGAGCUUGCUCCUCUGACGUUAGCGGCGGACGGGUGAGUAACACGUGGAUAACCUACCUAUAAGACUGGGAUAACUUCGGGAAACCGGAGCUAAUACCGGAUAAUAUAUUGAACCGCAUGGUUCAAUAGUGAAAGACGGUUUUGCUGUCACUUAUAGAUGGAUCUGCGCCGCAUUAGCUAGUUGGUAAGGUAACGGCUUAUCAAGGCAACGAUGCGUAGCCGACCUGAGGGGGUGAUCGGCCACACUGGAACUGGGACACGGUCCAGACUCCUACGAGAGGCAGCAGUAGGGAAUCUUCCGCAAUGGGCGAAAGCCUGACGGAGCAACGCCGCGUGAGUGAUGAAGGUCUUCGGAUCGUAAAACUCUGUUAUUAGGGAAGAACAAAUGUGUAAGUAACUAUGCACGUCUUGACGGUACCUAAUCAGAAAGCCACGGCUAACUACGUG